AUAAUGCCGUCAAGGUCCACUAUCUUUAGCGGGCAACGUCACAUAAAUGCUGGAACCGUUAGCAAUAACCGCACCAGCAGCCGAGGUUCUCCUGGGCUCACAGAUUAGAUGGUGACGGUUGAAUGAAGGAAGAUGGAAGAGCACGCACGCUGCCUGGAACCUUCUGAUCAUUCAAUUAAGAUAUAACCGGUCAACCGUGGUGAAACGGUUGGAGAAAUGUUCCGUAGGUGAACCUGCGGAAGGAUCAUUA
rnacentral:rRNA from 1 species